rnacentral:rRNA from 1 species
AUUGAACGCUGGCGGCAGGCCUAACACAUGCAAGUCGAACGGUAACAGGAAACAGCUUGCUGUUUCGCUGACGAGUGGCGGACGGGUGAGUAAUGUCUGGGAAACUGCCUGAUGGAGGGGGAUAACUACUGGAAACGGUAGCUAAUACCGCAUAACGUCGCAAGACCAAAGAGGGGUACCUUCGGGCCUCUUGCCAUCGGAUGUGCCCAGAUGGGAUUAGCUAGUAGGUGGGGUAACGGCUCACCUAGGCGACGAUCCCUAGCUGGUCUGAGCGCAUGACCAGCCACACUGGAACUGAGACCCGGUCCAGACUCCUACGGGAGGCAGCAGUGGGGAAUAUUGAACACAGGGCGCAAGCCUACUGCAGCCAUGCCGCGUGUAUGAAGAAGGCCUUCGGGUUGUAAAGUACUUUCAGCGGGGAGGAAGGGAGUAAAGUUAAUACCUUUGCUCAUUGACGUUACCCGCAGAAGAAGCACCGGCUAACUCCGUG